GUCCACUGUGAGAGACUUAAUCGAAAAAAAAAUCUGAGAAACACAUAAUUUUAAUGCUUCUGCUGCAAAUAAAUAUUUGAACUGCUUUAUAUCAGCUAGAAUUCUAACCCUCAGUUCACCUUCACUCCUGUUUGAGGUUGUUUAAAGACUCUUGUUGUCCAUUUAUUACCAGUAAGACUGCAACUACUAACAUGGCCAAGACCAAAGAGCUGUCCAAAGACAGUAAAGACAAAAGUGUAGACCUCCACAAGGCUGGAAAGGGCUAUUUUCACCAAAUUGCCAAGCAGCUUGGUGAAAAAAGAUCCACCGUUGGAGCAAUGACUAGAGAAUGGACGAAGCUAAACAUGAUGACUCAAUGUCCCUUGGACUGGGGCUCCAUGCAAGAUCUCAUGUCAUGGGGUCUCAGUGAUUCUGCAGAAAUACAGAGAAAUUAUUAGAAAAAUCAUAUAAGUUGAUUUUUUUUUUUUGCUUAUGUCUCCCAGAGUGAACAUGCACCUAAGAUGAGAGUUUCCCUCCAUGAUUUCUAAGUGGGAGAACUUCCAAAAUCGCAGGGUGUUCGAAUUCUUAUUUGCCUCACUGUAUAUUUGAUAUAUUUUUUGAAAACAUAUUUCUCCUAAAAAAAAAGGAUUACAGAAGAUGUUUGGUGCCUAUUACAAUAAUACAAUAUUCUUCUAAAUUUGAAAAUCCCAAAUCUCCUCCAUUACAUUAUCUUUUAUGAGUGCAGUCUAAGCAAAUAUAGAAAAGAUUGUUGUUGGUUUAAUGCACGGAUGACACUUUUCAACUAAUUAAACAAAGAUGGCAUAGCGUUUAUUUUUUUCAAGUCAAAAAGUCUUUCUCUGAGCCUGUUCUUUUCUUUUCUUUUUAUCUGUUUCACUGUUUUAGUAUAUAUAUUGAAGCAACUUUGCACUGUUUAGGGUGUUGGCUAAAAACAUUUUCACACAUAAAUAAAUGAAAAAAAGAUUGAUAGACUAAACUGCUGAAGUAGUUUCUGAAGAGCAUCAGGAGUUUAUCCAAGAGUUAACCGUUUUUGUGCAGAGUAAGUUUGCGUGCUUAUUUCCCAUGAGCCCCUUCUCUUUCUCUUCAGCUUACAGCACCUCACAACCCCAACCAGACAAUGGCUGUGUGACAAAAAUGGCGAUCAAAAAUGGAGCUAUCUAGUCGUACAGUUUUGAGCCAGAUGUCAACUCAGACGAGGAAGACGCAGGCGUAUAUGGAUCCAGUCAUCUAAAAGUGGAUGCAUUUGAAUGGAGCAGAGCAGGGGAACUCAGUUGUUGUUACUACGUAACCACUAUAAGCUUUUAAAUCUGCUCCUGAUUUACCACGGCAUGAAUGGAGAAAUACUCAGAAAUGCUUUUUUUAAUCUUAAUUUUGCUAAUAUAUGUCUUCCAGCAUCAGAAAAAGGUUACAACAUGUUCAAAACACCAAAAAGACUUUGCUUUAAUUUGAAAAAAAAAAAUUUAAGGUGUGAUUUUUGUAACAGCAUUUUUAAAACUGUGUUCUGUCUUCAUGGUCUUAAAUAAAUUUAAAAAAAAAAGAAAAAAGCAAACCAAUCGAAGCAGAACAAACCUUUUGGCAUACAUCGUGUGUAGAACAAUAUUAUUCUAUUUAAACAGUUUGCAAUCUCUUCAGCUUCUCUUUUAAACUUCUCUUUUUGCUGCUUCACAACUUUUUUUUUCUGUGUUGAUUUCAGCAUAAAGAAGAAAGUUUAUGGUGACUAAUACGUUGCUGAAAACUUUUCAUAGUCACAUUCCGUCAUUAAAAUAGAUCGGAUACUCUGUUUAAAAAUAAAUAAACCAAGGAAUGCAACAUAGACAAUUUGUUGAUCAAGCUGCUAUUGGGAAAUACAAAGUAAAAAAUGUGGUUCAAAAAGCGUUUUAUUCCUUUGGUUGAUGUUUUUCUCCUUAAAAAAAUACCAGUACAAGAAGGCGUCACACUUGAAACUGAUUUUUAAAUUUAACCAAACACCAUCAGGAAAUCUUGUGCGUCAUGCAUGAGUAAGAUUUGUUCAAAUCUGUAUACACUUGUUUUGCAAGGGUUUAGUUACUCAGUCAAGCAUAAAACCUUACAGACAUUUGAAACUUGACUGCACAUGUUUGGCCGUCCCAUCUGCUGCUUCCUCUUUUGGCCUUCAUAUCAGGGACUUUGCAUUUGCUGCUACUGACUCUAUGUGUGUUCAUUUGGCGGACAGACUCAUAACGGAUCCUUUAGGAUGGAUUUACUUGGGAGGCUUUGAGGAGCAGCUCAGCAGUCAUGACGGCAUCAACAAAAUGCACGGUUGGUUUCGGAAACUCUUGAAGACAAGAGGAAGUUUGUCAAUACAAAAUAAAAAAGACGAGAUCAUAACCAAAGACUCAGUGACGUCUGCCGGCUCUUUAUCAUAUUCGUCUGCUUCACCGCUGCCUGCAGUGCCACCAGGGAAAUCCCCGUCCAAACCACGGCAACAACAGCUUGUUCUCGCAUCUGAGCAGAGAUGGAAAAAGAAAUAUGACCUUUUCGUGUGCCACAGUUCCACUGACUCAGACAUGGAGGAGGCCACGCAGCUGGUUUUGUCUCUCGAGGCGGCGCCCCAUGAACUACGGUGCUUUUUGUGGCACCGUGAUGCUUGCCCUGGGGCUGCAGUCACUACAGAGUUUGGUCAUGCACUGGAGGACAGUCAUGUAUGGGCGUUACUCAUCACCCCCAGCUUUGUGCAGGAUGACUGGUGCAAAUACAUGAUGCACCAAGUUUUGGCAGAGGGGCCCAUGUCCAACAGGAUGAUUCCCUUGCUUCAGAACUUACCACACACUCAGUAUCCAAUGGAACUGAGAUUCUACUACUACAUUGAUUUGAGCAGGAACCCACACAGAGGCCACAACAUUGUCAACAAGACUGUGCUGGGGUAUUUGGAGAAUCUGGUCAAAGAAGAGCUGAAAUCUGAUCACAAGCUGGACGAGUCUGAAAGAAUCUCACAGAAAGAGACGUCAAAGCAAUGUUCCACUGUUACUUCAACGGAUGAGGAGGAGAAACAGACUUUACAAUGACUCUCAAGCUAAGAUUUGAAACCCAAAACAAGUCUGCUGCUACUGACCACGAACCAUUUUGAGGGGAUUUUGAUGAUGGUUUGGUUGCCUUGGUGAACCCCAUACGUCAUAUGCCAAGCAAGAGAAAGCAAAAAGAACGAGAGAUGAAAAGUGUAGCAGGAAGUCACGGGGUUACAGCCCAGAGAAACUAUGCCUAUAGAUUACAUGCAUACCCACAGCAGGUUCUUCUUUCUCACAGUUGAAUUCUCACAGUCAGUUGUUUUUUUGUUUCAUUUAGAAAUGUUUUUUAUCUUUACUGCUCACUUUCUUUAUCUUACUCAACUCUUUCCACCUACCAGUCACAUAAUGUUGAUUAGAUAACGAUUAUACAUCUACUGUAGAGGUAUACAGCAGUGGUUUCCAACCGGCGCCAGUUCCAUGGGUCACUUGGUACCGGUCCGUAGACAGAAAAUAAUAAAUAUACGUCCUGACUUACUGGUAUUUUAUUUCCGUUUUGUUAAUUUUCUGAU